UACGUAGGGGGCAAGCGUUGUCCGGAAUCAUUGGGCGUAAAGAGCGUGUAGGCGGCCCGAUAAGUCCGCUGUGAAAGUCCAGGGCUCAACCCUGGAAUGCCGGUGGAUACUGUCGGGCUAGAGUCCGGAAGAGGCGAGUGGAAUUCCUGGUGUAGCGGUGGAAUGCGCAGAUAUCAGGAAGAACACCCGUGGCUAAGGCGGUUCUCUGGGACGGUACUGACGCUGAGACGCGAAAGCGUGGGGAGCGAACAGG
rnacentral:rRNA from 1 species